AGUGAACGCUGGCGGUAGGCCUAACACAUGCAAGUCGAACGGCAGCACAGUAAGAGCUUGCUCUUACGGGUGGCGAGUGGCGGACGGGUGAGGAAUACAUCGGAAUCUACUUUUUCGUGGGGGAUAACGUAGGGAAACUUACGCUAAUACCGCAUACGACCUACGGGUGAAAGCAGGGGAUCUUCGGACCUUGCGCGAUUGAAUGAGCCGAUGUCGGAUUAGCUAGUUGGCGGGGUAAAGGCCCACCAAGGCGACGAUCCGUAGCUGGUCUGAGAGGAUGAUCAGCCACACUGGAACUGAGACACGGUCCAGACUCCUACGGGAGGGAGCAGUGGGGAAUAUUGGACAAUGGGCGCAAGCCUGAUCCAGCCAUACCGAGUGGGUGAAGAAGGCCUUCGGGUUGUAAAGCCCUUUUGUUGGGAAAGAAAAGCAGCAGGUUAAUACCCCGCUGUUCUGACGGUACCCAAAGAAUAAGCACCGGCUAACUUCGUG
rnacentral:rRNA from 1 species